GAGAUAUUAGUAAAAUCAUUACAUAACCUUGUCAAGGUUAAAUUAUGGGCCAAGCACCCAUAUAUCUCC
rnacentral:tRNA from 2 species